ensembl:lncRNA
CAAGUAGUGUGUGCUCCCCCUCAGAGACUAGGAAAGGAGCCGGGUUAUAGCAGCACAUGAGAAAGAUGCAAAUGGUUUCAUAAAGGGUGCGUGAUGGACAGCAGGCAUAAAUGUGGCUUUGGCGUGUAGUUUUCCAAGCAUCUCCCCUUCCCCCGUUUCCUCAGUUCUUUAUCUAAUAUCAUUUAAAUAAGUAUCAAAUAAUGGCAUUCUUAACCAUUUGUCUAGGGAGAGUAUUCCACUCACUAAUAGAUCUCCCUGUCAGGGAAUUUUCAUGGAUAAUUAUUUAGCGACUUUUCGCUAUGACUCUUGACAAUGAACAGCACGGAUGGGGAAGCACCCGAGGUUGCUUGUGAUCCUGACGAUUUCAGAUGGUGUCAGUGACGUCAGUGGAAAGUGCGUCAGUUACUUGGUUUACGACCCAGUGAAUGACAUCUGUUGGGCCUCCAACUGCCAAGAGCCUCAGUCUCUUGAGAGAGACCAAGUGACUGUCCCCUGAGCGCCCCUCUUCCUCUGACUGGACUCUGCUUCACUCAGCACGACAGAGCCUUCCAUCCUGGGAGCAUCACCCGACCUCUGGCCCUUGGCCAUCUCAAAUAGAGACGUGCCCUGGCUAAGUCCUUCUUCCUGUCCUGUUUAAAUCUCAUGCAAUACUUGAGCGCUCUGCCGUCCAGUUCAGAAAUAACCAGAUUUCUUUUCCUCUUGGCUUCGAGGGUUUUUGCCUGCCCUCUUUGACAUCUGCCCCAGGGGACCUCAGCCAAAUACAUCAAGGUGGAGUUUCCUAAAACCGCAAAGAAACCGGAACCCUAAAAGGCCUUUUACAGAAAUGACUCUUGGGAAAGCUUAGCUAUCUUACCCCAGGAAAAUUAACAUUGUGUUAACCUACCUAUCCUCUUAAAAUCUCUUUGGAAAAGGUAGCAGCUAGUUCAUUUCUAAAUAUAACAAGCAUCCUAUUUGUAUUUACUUUUCAUGCCACCAACAAUGUACUUGGUAUUGAGUUGAAUACGGCUCCAAGAGAAAAUACAAUUAAUGAAUAGUCACAAGGUUGCUCAUCUGAUCAAUGCUUGUCUGUGACCACAACCGCUCAGAGCCUGUGGCAGCGAAGAGGACCACACUGGCUGGCGGAGCUGGCACCAGACACCUUCUGAAGACAAGAGUGUUCUAGCCCCGAUGUGCGCCAGUGAGGACGCAAGGGCCCUGACCUCAGGGGCCCACGGCGUGGUGGCGAGGACACAGAAGCAGACACUUCUCUGGGGACAUCCCAGAAGGUGGUGGGCUGUGUGGACUGACUUCCUGGAAGUCAUCAGCGCCAAGGCCUUGCACGAUGAGACCCCACCUGGCCUUUUCCAGGUGUGGCAGGGCCUCUGUCCGGCCCAGCUCUCCAGGUCGACACUCUGCCCGUGAGUCUUGGCACACCGCGUACUCGAGCCCUUCCCAGCGCCCUGGCACAGUUUGAUCGAUGCUGCAGCUAAGUGCACAAGCCAUCACGCCAAUAUCUUACAGAUCGAUGGAAG